rnacentral:rRNA from 1 species
CAGAAAUCCGAACCCCGACCUCUCCUCUCGCAGGGCUGAGCAGAGCGAGCAGCCCAUCUUUGGGAUCGAAGCAUAUUUGGGUUUGGGGGCGGAGCGGCCUCGCCGACGUCGUCGUCGGCCUCCGCGGCCGCCGGUACCUGCGCUACGCCUUCGUCGACCUGCACGAGUACCCCCGGUUGGCGUUGCCGCUGCACGCCCUCCAGUUGGCGUUCAUGAAGCUGGCGCUGCAGACGGCGGAGAAGGAGCGGCCUGAGACGGGGGUGCUGGAGAAGGUCGAGUGCUUUUACCUAGAGCCUGGGACGGGGUUCCAGGUGAGCGACGUCGACGCCUUUCUGAUGCUCCUCCAUUUUCGUUUCCCCUGCCUCUUAAAGCUGUCCCUCGAGCUCCUGUACUAUCUGUCCGAGUAGCACCUCACGCUCGCGUUUUAGGUCUCCCGCGAGUUUGCGGAGCGGCUACUCCUACGGUUCCGACGAUAGCGGUAUAGGCAGAGGCUCCAGUGAGUCAGACUUCUUCAACGCGUCGACAGUUUCCUUUAGUUCCUCUUUUACUUUCUUCGGCUAUAGAAACUAAAACUUCCCUUCUGACUACUAUUUUAGUUCUGGUACCUUAACCACCUUCUUAAUUCUAGAUUUUCCCGACUGAACGUCCGAUGGGAGAACGAACUACGGAAAUUGUUCCUGGCUCGACGUUAUGGAGUUGGAUAAGGUGGUGGAGUUUACCGUUGUGACGGUCGUGGAGGAGGAGGACUACGAGCAUGAGUUCUUGACUAGUUACUCUUCGAUUCAUUUCGACUUCGGGAACCACUCGUUCCCUACCAUCUUCUUCGUGUCUUUCGAAAUCUUCUUCGUCUUCGAGAGUUUUUCAACCGCCGCCGUGCCGUCCUCGGACAAGGACUAGGAAGAUUUAUGUCACAACGACUACAAGCUUAAUGACUAGUCUUUAACGCGGAGACACUGUAUACACCUCGUAAAAACUCACAGAUACUGUUACUGGCUGCAGAACGACUGGUAAAACCUCCCUUCGAUGUGAACCCAAUAUACAACUAAGCACUCUUUGACUUUCUUGAGGUCCACGACUUACAUUACAGGGUAAAAGACGAAAUUUCUCAAUGAGACAAAACCCGGAAAACCGUAGACACUCAAAAGAAUAGAGUUCCUUCUCGGAAGUCCAAGAACGGAAGAUAUAUACAAUAAAAUAGAGUGUAACCUCCCGCGGUACCAACAAUGCUAUCAGUAAUGUCCUUAAUCAGUUACAACGUAUUCGCCUUAGAGUACACUGUUAGCAGGAGGAAGGAAGGGUACCGUUGUUGUCGGCGGUUGACAUACAACUGUUUACAUUCGUAUCCUCACUCGUCUUGUACCAUACCUCUUAGUACAAAUGAAUUAACACAGUCGAAAGAGUAUAUAUGACUAGUCUUCGACCUCGAACGAAAGACGAACCACUAGGUAUAAAACAUCUCGACCACUAUUUAUCAUGGCCAAUUCAAUGGGACUUUCGCGUGGGAAAACGGUAGAAAAGGACAUUCAAUGUUGGACAAGUAUACGACGGACGAGGUAUUUAUACAUUCAACAGUAACAGUCUUUUAGAGUUGACAUUACAUAGGGAACGGAAAAAGUAAGGCAGCAGUAUACUUAGCUCGAUAGAGGUGAGCCAUUCGUACAGAUAUAACACUUAUUACAGUAAGAUUUUGAUACAGUAUAAACGGAAAAUCCUCCUCUCCUUGUUUUUUUCCUGGCUCUUUGGACUUCUACUGUCUGCUAGUUCCCUUUUGUCGUCCCUGGCGUUACCCGCCCGUAGGUCCCUAUCUCUACGUCUUUCUUUCCUGUCCCAACUCGGGGCCCUAUCGUCUUCUCUGGUGCUAUCCCUAGCACUAUCCGCGGUACUGUCCCUGGCAGCGGUACUGGCGCUGGCACUAUCUCUAGUACUGGCGAGGAGGGCACCAUCUCUCGUACUGGCACUAUCCUCUUCCCUUGCGAGAGCUAGGUCCCUGGCGUCGUCCGCGGUACUUUCUAUAACUUAGACAACGAGGUCCCAUGAGAGCAGAAGGACGUACUAUCACUACCACGACAAAUUCUACAUACCACUCCAACGCGAAACAUGACCUCUUUCCUUCUAUCAGAACUACAAACAGAAGUGACGACCUAACAAUCACUUUUGGGACACACAAAAUACGGUAGAAAAGACAAUAGACUGGACUACACCACAUGUUCUUAUAUGACAAAAUAUACAAUGGUUGUUACAUACUCAAAGCACAAUGAGUUCGGAGGAACCCGGGUCAACAAUUUGAGUGUACACUGUUAUAAACAUUAAACGAAUAGAACACUACCGUACCUCGAUUAAAAGACAGAACACACCAAGUACCCACUUUCUUAAAUUGUACGGACCAAUCAC